CCAGAUCAGACCCGAUAAAUGACAAGACCUUGACAAUAUGUUCAAGACGCGUUGAGCCGGAUUAUUUCGUUGAAAAAAUGUUUACAAAAAUUCUGGGUCCACAUAUCGAAGAUUAAAAGAAGGGUUAGGGAGACUAUCAACCUUAAUUCUUCUACAGAAAAGCGUAACAACAAAGAAAUUGAAUCCAAGGAAGUCACCGAGUCCAAGGAAAACCGAGGAAACUCAAUGUUUACAUAUGAACGAAGUAACCUUUCAGAUGUUGCAGAAAUCAUUUUUAUGUCAAAUGCCUGCUUUGUGGCUAUGUCAGUCUUCAAGUGAUUAUAUCUAUCUGUUUAAAACUGAAGAUAAAAGUGUAACAUACCAUUUAACCAUUGACAAGGACUUGAAUUGUGAAGUACAAUAUAAUAAUUUUUGUUUCCUGUUCAAAUUAAAGUUACAUCUAUAG